GACGAACGCUGGCGGCGUGCCUGACACAUGCAAGUCGGACGGUUCUUGUACCUUCAAGCUUGCUUGUUGGUGCAAGGAUAGUGGCGGACGGGUGAGUAACGCGUGAACAUCUACCCAUUGGAGGGGGACAACCCGUCGAAAGGCGGGCUAAUACCGCGUAAGCCGCGAGGUGAGAGGCUGCCUAUUGGUGGCCGCCGAUGGAUGGGUUCGCGUCCUAUCAGCUGGUUGGUGGGGUAACGGCCUACCAAGGCGAAGACGGGUAGCCGGUCUGAGAGGAUGGCCGGCCACACUGGAACUGAGACACGGUCCAGACUCCUACGGGAGGCAGCAGUGGGGAAUCUUGCGCAAUGGGGGAAACCCUGACGCAGCAACGCCGCGUGAGUGAGGAAGGCCUUCGGGUCGUAAGCUCUGUCAGAUGGGAAGAAAUGGAUGGGGGCUAAGUAUCGCCCAUCCUUGACGGUACCAUCAGAGGAAGCACCGGCUAACUCCGUGCCAGCAGCCGC
rnacentral:rRNA from 1 species